rnacentral:rRNA from 1 species
GAUGAACGCUGGCGGCGUGCCUAAUACAUGCAAGUCGAGCGAACGGACGAGAAGCUUGCUUCUCUGAUGUUAGCGGCGGACGGGUGAGUAACACGUGGAUAACCUACCUAUAAGACUGGGAUAACUUCGGGAAACCGGAGCUAAUACCGGAUAAUAUUUUGAACCGCAUGGUUCAAAAGUGAAAGACGGUCUUGCUGUCACUUAUAGAUGGAUCCGCGCUGCAUUAGUUAGUUGGUAAGGUAACGGCUUACCAAGGCAACGAUGCAUAGCCGACCUGAGAGGGUGAUCGGCCACACUGGAACUGAGACACGGUCCAGACUCCUACGGGAGGCAGCAGUAGGGAAUCUGCCGCAAUGGGCGAAAGCCUGACGGAGCAACGCCGCGUGAGUGAUGAAGGUCUUCGGAUCGUAAAACUCUGUUAUUAGGGAAGAACAUAUGUGUAAGUAACUGUGCACAUCUGGACGGUACCUAAUCAGAAAGCCACGGCUAACUACGU